ACCGGCGUUGUGACGACCUGCACUCAGAAGACUGAGGACAACUCAGAGAUGUUACAUAGCAACACAUGUGACGUACUUAGAGCGUCUAAGACCUAUGUAGCACAAGCGAUUUUCUCGCUUGUAACGACUGACCACACGACACGAGAACAAAGAUGACAACAACGGGCUCCGAGGAUGUUGUGCCCAAAGCACCUGCGUUAUGUUCUCAAAGAUGGAAUCUCGCCAUACUCUCUUUCUUUGGCAUUCUUAUCGUUUACUUCAAUCGCUUGAUACUCAGCGUGGCCAUCAUCUGCAUGGUGCGUGCGCCUUCCAUCAACGUCACUUCCGAUCACCAGACAAAUGAAGCAUGACUAGCAAAUUGUAGAACUGAGCACGCUGGACAAGUAUACAGGGGAAUGGCUGGCCAUAUAAGAUGUCAAUCUAUCCUGGAGAACUACUUGCCCAAUAGAUAUGUCAGCAUUGUUUGUGUUUGUAAAUGGUAAUGUAGAUGCAAAGUGGAGACAAGAUAAACUCUCAACAUCUCAGCUAUUUUAUGCAAACACACACACACACCUAUGUCAGUGACUCGUUUGUGGGUCGACAUCUUUGAUGCCAACUUACGACAAUCUAUACUUUUGAGGUAGAAGAGAGAGUUUUAAAACACUUCAUUUACACUUUAUACAACGAUCUUCACUUGCAAACAUCAGACAAUUAGUAAUCAGCAGCACAGAUCGAAACAUGCAACUCGCGCUGGAACUACACCUGACAACGACACACACCUACAGAUCACAGGUGACACAGCCGUAGCUGCUACCGUGUUGUUACUCUUACUACAAUGUAUAACAUAUCUAGAAACAUCUACCAGUUACUUGUACUUGUCACGAAUGUGCGCUAUCUCACCGAAGAGUGCAGUUAACGAGAUUUACGCCAGUCACACUAACACUCGCUACAAUGUCUAGGAGGCCGGUUCAAAACCGCACGGCCGACACCGGUGGGGUUAUCCGAGGUCAAAUACCUUUUCUAUCGCAUCAAACCGCCGGUCGUGAUCUCCACCAAUGGCUACAUCACUUAUUUCGUAACACACGCACGUGCACACGGACACAAACACUCGUACCUGCCUUUAGGACUUUUAGUUUCUCUAAAGUGUGAAUAGUAAUUUACAUUGGAAGUACUUAACAGUAAAAAUUUCUCACGCGACAGACGAAAAAUUAAGUUGAUGUAGGUAAUAUAUCAGAAAAAUUUAAUAAUAACAAAACAAAUUAUAGUUUAAUGAAUUAUAAAGGGGAAUUACACUUAUUACAUUUAGUCUACCAUGUGACGAGUGCAUGUUUUCAGUGUCACGCGCAUGAAGACAAACGAUUAGUCAAGGUGUGUGCACUGUCUCUGACAUGACCCCUUAGAUGUAAGCGAGUAUUUAAAGGUAAAAGGGAGUCAAACGAUCAUUUUGGCGCAAAUGAUGAGGUUUUGAAUCAUAUUUAAUGAAAAUUAAAGGUUAAUAAGCAAUUUUUAAACUUAUUAUAGUCCAUAGCCUUCUGUACAGUGACUGACACAUCAACGGAUACAUUAGCGCACUGAAACUAUUACCUUUGCAGCUUCAUGAUCUUUCACACUAGUAUUCUGUAGAGUUUUUUAACAUGCUAUCAUUUUACUGUUUUCAUCACUACACCAUUUCCAAAUGUGCCAUACUACGUUUUGACGACCUGCCAUCAGGAAAAUGAGAACAGCUCUUGUGCGUGACUGCUCAGAGAUGUUACAUAACAACACAUCACGUGACGGACUUAGAGCGUCUAAGACCUAUGUCCACAAGCGAUUACCCACCAGUCCCUGUGGUGAUGUAGUUCUCGCUUGUAACGAUAGAC